AAAGUCGUAACAAGGUUUCCGUAGGUGAACCUGCGGAAGGAUCAUUACCAAAUCCAAAACAUACCAACCCACGAUGUGCACCUUGUGAAUCCCUUUUUUUAAAGUGCGCCGUUCCUAUCCUGUUGCGGGGUGGCGGCGCAUUUUAAUUUUUCCAACCCACGCGAACCCAACCGAGUGUUUUUAGUAUAUACUUGCUUUCCUGGCCGGAAAGCAAGGCCAAUGAACCAAUAGACAACUUUUAACGGUGGAUCUCUUGGCUCGU
rnacentral:misc_RNA from 1 species